AAAGGAAUUGACGGGGACCCGCACAAGCAGCGGAGCAUGUGGUUUAAUUCGAAGCAACGCGAAGAACCUUACCAGGACUUGACAUCCCUCUGACCGUUCCUUAAACGGAACUUCUCUUCGGAGCAGAGGUGACAGGUGGUGCAUGGUUGUCGUCAGCUCGUGUCGUGAGAUGUUGGGUUAAGUCCCGCAACGAGCGCAACCCUUGCUACUAGUUGCCAUCAUUAAGUUGGGCACUCUAGUGGGACUGCCGGGGACAACUCGGAGGAAGGUGGGGAUGACGUCAAAUCAUCAUGCCCCUUAUGUUCUGGGCUACACACGUGCUACAAUGGCCGGUACAACAGGUAGCGAACCCGCGAGGGGGAGCCAAUCCCAAAAGCCGGUCCCAGUUCGGACUGCAGGCUGCAACCCGCCUGCACGAAGCCGGAGUUGCUAGUAAUCGCGGAUCAGAAUGCCGCGGUGAAUGCGUUCCCGGGUCUUGUACACACCGCCCGU
rnacentral:rRNA from 1 species